rnacentral:sRNA from 1 species
AGAUGUGAGGGCGAUCUGGCUGUGACAUCUGUUCCCCGUUGAUUGCCAGGGUUGAUUCAGCUGGCUAGGCGGGUGUCCCCUUCCUCCCUCACCGCUCCAUGUGCGUCCCUCCCGAAGCUGCGCGCUCGGUCGAAGAGGACGACCUUCCCCGAUAGAGGAGAGGACCGUUCUUCGGUCAAGGGUAUAUGAGUAGCUGCGCUCCCCUCUAGAACCUCCACACAAGCUCUCAAAGUGGCUACAACAACUUGCAUUCCCAACAACAGCAUAAGAGGGUUCCCCUUUCU